UCGCGCUUUUUUUUUUUUUUUUUUUUUUUUUUUUUUUUUUUUAUGAAUGGAGGGCAGGCGCAGCUGCGCAUGCACCGCGCCCCCCGCCCGGGCUGGAGGGCCAAGCUAUCUAGUCCAUGUUUGGGAAAACUCCACUGCUCUAAUGGGAAAAGGACCUUUUCUCCUGAGCAAAGGCUGUGGGGUCUGACUUUAAACAAGAGAAGCAAAGUGCUCGCCUUGGUGUGAACAUCCCAGGUACCUAUGAAGACAGGGAAGAAACCCAAACAAAUGAGGGGUGAUGGUGUUUCCUCGUCCAACUGCUUUUCCAGAGUUUUUAGAUUCAACAUGUGUGUUGUUCCUGCAGCAACAAUCGCUCCUCAUCCCGCCAAGGGACGCGCAGAGAACGCAAGGGGUUUGAGAUGCUGUGUGUGGAUGAGAGAUCCGGUGUUUGUGAAGGGUGAUGUACACACCUGGGUAGAGCUGGCUGAUGUUAUGGCCCUGGCAUCUCCCCUUGCUCUGCCCUGCGUGCUGCAGAAGUUCAGGAAUCCCCGGCAGCGAGCUGUGUGGCCCCUGUUUCAGCGGAGAAUCGCCUGCAGCCCUCAGCAUUUUUACUGGCCUGAUCCUUUGGGGCUGGAGCCAGCAGCUUUGUCACCGGCCAGAACCCACUGUCCCUUUUCGCAGGGAUGCGCUGAGCACCCACCAGUGCCAACCCAGAUGGAGUUGUUCCCCAUGCAGAGUCCUUCCUCUGAGUCUCUCUCUCUUCUUUUCUUCUUCCUUUUGACACUUCCUUAUUUGCAGAUUUGUCAGAGUUAAAGGGUUGUGCCCUGGUGGUGGUUAGUUGGCCCCGUAGACAAACGCCAGCUUUGCCUGGGGCUGCCGGCCACAUGGAAAUGACACCAGCGAGACAGCAACUUUCUAAACAAGCUUAAUUAAAUCUGAGCAAUACUUGUGUGGGCUGCUGGAGCCCUCCUACCCCUGAAAAGCACUGCAAGAAAGCUCAGAUUUCCUGGUGUCACCCUGGCCUCCUUUGCACAGGGCAGCUCUGGGUAUCCAUGUCCCUGGGGUGGCACAAGGACCCGUGGGGACAGUGGCAGGAGCUGCGUGGCAGCAGAGCCCCGUGUGCGGGGCAGAGGGAGCCUGGGGGGGGCUCAGCACUGGCAGCUUGGGGAAAGAACAUUGAAUUGUUGUGAAUGGAAAUGGCUUUGGGUGAAAACCCUGGAGAGGACAGAGGGUGGACGGCGCUGCUGUCAUUGCAUCGUUUGUCUGUGCGGAACCUCACUGUUACAGUUCCUGUGUGUUGCUUAAUUGCUUUUGGAUGAUAUUCAGGUACCAAAGUGGGGCAGAAGCAACUCUCAGGCUGGAUUUUAACCCUUUUGGGGGGUGUAAUUCCUGUGUUGUUGCAGGAGGGGCUGAGUGGGGAGUGGUGGGCAGCGGGGCUGGAGCUGGGCAGUGGGGAUGAGCGUGAGGUGCAACCAGACAAAGUAUAAACCUACAGUUCAGUGUGGAAGGAGAAGAGAAGGCUCUGAAGGGACAGAGCAACCCCUGACUGGGACAGCAGGAUGAUCCAUCAAGUUGUGGUGGCAUCAAUAGCGUGUGCACUGAAUAGCUUAACGCGUGUAAUGAGCAUUAAGAGGGAAGGAGGUAUGUUAUGGAAACACGGCCCCGGAGCCUGUAGGACUGAUUGCCUGGGCAGGCUGGAGGAGCGGAUGGCAUUUAAGAGCCGUUGGGACCUUUCUCUGCUCUUUGGUGGAGACAGUGUUAAUCGGCCGGGCUUAGCGACGCGGGGCGGAUGUCAGGGAGGAACAGAAGGGCUGUUAAGCACGAGGAAAUUGCUCGCUGUCUAGAUGGGCUUAACACAGUAUAAACUCUGCAGCAUGCACAGAAAGUUAAAGCCUGAAUGGCGGGCGAGCUGGAGUUGCACAGCGCGGCACCGCGGACACGAGCGGACGGCGACGUUUCUCCUGUGCGGGGUUGCUGGGGGCUGGUGCUGGAGCACAGUGUCCGUGCACCGGCCUUUUCCUUCGGGCAGAAAGGCUGGGUGUUGUUGGGGAAAGCCUGUCUGGACUCUGGGGAAAACUGGUAAAAUGAUAUCUUGAUUAUAAUUAAUUACUGCAGUAUUUUGUUUUGGAAUUGCACCUCUGGCUAGUGUGCAUCUCCCCAAAGAUGCUGUGAUAGUGCCCCACAGCCUUCCUGUUGGUUUUCAUUUAGUUUGGAAAAGUAAUUAAAAGAGAUUAAAAAAAGAAGCAGCAGAGUUGCUGACUUUCUUCACAAAAGGAAAGGAGUUAGGCCAACCCUACUGCUAUGAAAAUAAACACAAUUCCAUUUUUUUGUUGCAAGUUCUUCCCAUAUAUUGAAUUUCCGUGCUUAGUGACAAGGAUGGAUCUGCCUGAGUGAGCAGCGAUUGGAUUCAGAUGGCUUUGAGUUGCAACUGGUUUUGCUUUGGAAAGCUGGAACUGUCCUCAGAGGGGAGGGUUUGGACCUGAGCUUGGGGCCUUAUUCUCCAUAGAGCAGAAGCCUUGCAGCCUAACUGAUCUAAGCUGUUAGCUUUCCAUGGCUGUGCCUGCGCAUUAUUUAUCUCCUUUAUUUAUCCUGUGCUCAAGGUGUGUUUUUAGUAGCAACAAGCUGGCAAUUGUAAUUGUCAUCCGAAAGGCUUGACUGUGUUUGCUAGAUUUUGCCUAUGGACCUGGACAGGGGCUCUGGUCCCGCAGGUACGUUUAUCUGCAGAUGACCUCCCUCGUCUCUCUGGAGAAAUGCUGCUCCUCCAGUUGUUCUCUCCCCCCUCAUUUCCCAGUUACAGGCAGCGGUUAGCAUAGGCGCAGGCAUGGCAAAGCCCACGGUAAACACCGCCUGUGGAGCACGAGCUGUAAACUGAGACUAAUUUGGCACCGAGUUCAGUCGUAAAGGAUAAAUGUGCUUUAUGGCCGCAUUCAGGAUGUAGCUGUAAUGGCUAAAUAAAACCAUACUCCGGGUGAGGGAAGCUGUCAGCUACGGCCCCAGGGAAUUGGGUUUUCGUGCAAGCAAAUGGUGACUAUUGCAAAUCACAGAAAACGGGAAAGGGACUGAAUGAGCGGAGUGUGGGGUUAAGGGGGGGAGUGCUGGUGAGGGACAUUCACAGCGAGAUGGAGCCCGCAGUGAGGAGUCCCUGCCUUUGUCACUAACAGUGUGGUUUCCUCUGUCACAGGUGGCUGCUCAGGUGCAGAGAGAGGAGGAGACGAGCUCUGCAGUUGCUGUGGGUCUGGCAGAGCCAGGACGCAGGAUCAGGCCACGUUGGUGUCUUGAGGCUGGAGCCUGAGUGCUCUGAAAACGCCAAAUCAAUGGGUGCAUGUGGCAGGAGCUCAUCCGUGCCCGCUCCUGCCGCGUCCCGCUCGAAAACUGGAGACAAACCGUAACACUGUGGCUUUCGCGAUGCUUCCUCGGCUGAAGAUGCUGAAACGUCCCUGCUAACAGGAUAAACAGCUCACAGGAAGCAGCAGUGGGGUUUUAAAUCUCUGCAGAGGACUCUAGAGCCGAACAGAAGGAGGGAGCGGAGAAGACCUGGAGCACUCUGCAGCCUGGGGCUCUGCCUGCCUGCCGGCAUAUUGUCGAGCUUGAAUCCUCCAUCCAAGACCGGCAGGAGGACUGAGCUGAGCGUGAAUUUUGCCCGUGCUGCCCCCAGCUCCAGCCUCGCAGAGGUGAAGGACUCCUGUACUUUUGCUUCCUUGGCUACCAAAUCCAUGCCAUCGAGCGGACACCCUGACUGCAUCUCCACAUACACCUCACCUGCUGCCACGGCUGGGCUGUCACAAGUCACACGGGUGCAACAGACUUCAACCUGUUCCCAAAUUACUUUUCAAUGCAAUAUCACCAGAAAAGGUCAGUUAAAGGAAACUCGCUGUGUGGGAAAACGCACUUGCUGCUCAGGAAGAAGCGAGAGGCGUGCUGACUCGGCAAGGCUUGGCCCCACGGUGCCCACGCUGACCUGUCCCUCCAUGCAGCUCGUGCCUGGUCCCCGCUGGCUUUGAUGCAUAGAAUUACUUAUGAACAGAUUGUAGAAGAGACAUAUUUACUUAAUAAAUAAAUACAAAUAACAUAUGGCAGGUACUAGCAUGUAACACAGCAAUACUGGUGUUGUAAGGGAGGCUAAAUGUCAAGGGCUUGGAGCUUUUGGCUGAUGCUAGUUUAGCUUAAUAUGCCGAGGGUGUCGGCAAGUGUUUAACCAGACCGGCACUCGGUAACGUGACUAGCGCAGUCUGAAAUAGCUUGAAGGGCAUAUUAGAAGCUACAUACUUAGAUGGAUAAAUAUGUUAACACAGAGUAUCCAGAGAGGUUUUGCCUUAGGAUAGCCAGGGACAGUAGAAGACUGUGUUUCUCUGCUCACCGGGGUGUCUCUGGGGAGCCCCCUUGGCCCUGUUUCUGGGUGCCUGCCCAGGACAGGUCUGUGGGGGUGCCAGGGACCUUGGGGGUGUUGGGGCUUUUCCCCUCAGCUCUGCAAAGCUUUGUGCAGGGCAGAAGAGCUCUGCCUUGUCUAAUGUUGGUAAAGCCUUUACUUACAGUUCAGAGCUUUAACGUUUGGCUCUGUCAUACUAGCCAAAAAGAGAGAGUGAGGGAAAAGGAGGAGGCAGCAGUUGGGUUUUGGGGUUCGGGUUGUCUCUGCGCUCCUGGGCCGGCUUAGUCGGCCAAGACGGGCAGCGGGAGGAAGAGGAUGGCCUUCUGGCCAUAGUGUGUCCGCGGCCCCAGCUUGCUGUUCCCGUUCUUCUUCAGACCCACAAACCAGUUCUUAUCCGCGUGCUUUUUGGAGACAUACGUGUUGUAAUGGUUCUCCUCGAUCCUCUCAAGGAACAGGCACUCCUCGCCCAGCAGCUGCUGAAAGAGAGCCCCGGGUACCGGCAGUGAGACGGCUGUGCUGCGGGGAGGAGGAGGCGCGUUCCUAACCCAGUGACCCCGCUCGGGUGCUCCCUGGCCAGGACGCUCUCCAGACCCACCUCACAGAGCUUUGUUCCCUAGGACAGUUCAUGUUAAAAGCAUGGAGGUCUGUACAGAUAUUUCCUUCCAUGAAGUAGUGGGAUGAAAGAGAGAAAAUAAGGCUGUUUGUGGAAAUGGACGUGGGCUUCAUUCUCAAGGGUCUACGAUAUCCUGGUAAGCUUUCUUUUCAUUUCAUGGUGCAAACUUGGUGUCCACACACAGCAGCAAAGGACACGGUGAGGGAAUCCUUACGUAGGGCUGGACGGGGAGGGCUUGGAGUGAGUGACUUCUCCUUAGAGAUCCUCCCUGAAUCUGGGCCUGGCACCUGGCAAGAUGAUGUAAGAUAAAAAUAGGAAUUCUUGGUAUUUAGCUGGGACAAAAUGCACAUGGUCACGGGCAGUUUGCAAAGCACCAAAACAUCUCUAACGCAGCUGUGCUUGCUGGACCCCGAUGAGCCAUGAGCGUUCCUGCGCCUCGUCCCUGCCCGGGACCUCUCUCCCUGCUGUCACCCCCAGGUUUCCCCAGGUUUCUGGCUCGCUCCACGCUGGCCAGUGCUUGUCCCCACUGUGUAAGGUGCAUCCCACGGCCAAGGUCACAGUCCGGGCUGCUCCCCUUGUGCACCCGGUGCGGAGCAGCUCUGCGGGCAGCCGUCGGUGCUCGGAGUCCGGGUACGGCCCCGCAGGGCAGCUUCGCUGGCACGCAGCCCUGCUGGGAGUUUCCCCUGUAAAUAUUUGUCCGUUCAGGUAUCCGAGUUUACAAGAUCAUUUACAGGAGGUUCCUUUCUGGCAGAGGUUUCCGAACACGUGGCGCCAGGCCAGCAGCUGGGGAGAUGCAAGUGUUGGGGCACAGCGGGUGCCCUGCACAGGAGUGCUGCCCGCACCCCUGCCUGCCCCCCUGCCUGUGUGCAUGGUGUGGCUGUGGGGACCAGCGGCCGGGCUGGAAACACUCACUCCAAGGUGUCGAGCUCGCUUUGCCAGGGGUAAAAAGCUGUGCUGUGACAUGGAGGGCUUGAGGCUUGGGGCUGGAUUAGCACCCUGUGUCCCUGGGGAUGUCACCAUGCCGCUGGCUCUGCAAACCCAUGCUGAGCUCCCCAGGACACACGGGUGUCUCUGUGUCCUUCUGACUCCAGAAAAAUCUCGGCUCUGGUAAAACGUGGCAGAGCUGCCUGUUGAGCUGGUACAACCUCUGCAGCUGCCAGCUUGUGGGUCCUGCAAGCCCCGUCCUGCCUUCCCAGAUCCUUUGGGUCAGGGGCCUCGUCCGCCUCUCGCAGGGGGUUGAGAAGGGUUAGUGCCGGCUUUGUUCCAGGCUGCCUGCCCUGCGCUGUGUUUGUCCAGCUUUGGUGAGCUCAGCCAUCCUCCAGCACUGCCGCCUUCUGCGUGAGCGCUGGGGAAGUGGCGUUUAUAAUUAAAAUUUUGCUAUAAACUGCAUUUCAUUAAAACAACAAUAACAAGGAGAAAGGUUAAUCUAUGGGGAGAAAGCCACAUGUAUGCUCGUGGUUUAAAGAAAAUAAAAGUGCUUUUCUUAGAAUUUGUAAGGCGGACUUGGCUCCUCCCAGUACUUCUUGUUAAGCGGAUAGGAGCCUGGCAGGUCCCAGUGACAUUCCAGUAAAUGUUCAGGAUAUGAUGUGCCCAGAGGUUCCUGCUGGGAACCGAGAGCUCCGGCACGUGGCGGUGGGGCAGAGCCCAGCCCCGCAGGGCGCUUGGCUGCGCUGCUGGUCCAGCUCUCCUUGGGAGCUGUUAAAACUCCUCUCGGGCAUUUUGGAAGUGCAAGAGCCCUAAAAGUUUUAAACUGCCCAACCAAUUCCUCGGAUUUUAUGUCUGUCUCCUCACACGGCCGUUCUCUCCUUUGUCUGAGCCGUUUGCCCGGGGGUGCUCUGCAACCCGGAGAGCUGCUGUGGGCUUUGUGGUGCCAGGGCCAGGUGCUCAGCUCCAUCUGACACCUUUGCGCAGCUUGGUCAAAGCAAGAAGAGCCUCAGCACCAUGGCUUGGCGCUGGUCCUGUGAGCGGCUGGCAGGGAAAGAGUUCUUCAUGCCUUUAGUGACAUGGUCAACUACUGAAUAGGACAAACACGCACCUUUCCUUCCUCUACAGGAUAAUAUUAUGAAUUUUUGACAUUAAGGCUUGCCCUGCAUCAGGUAGUCUGCAGUACCUUAUAGCAGCAUUUACAAAAACAGCACUUUUUAGUGAGUGAGUCCUGCCAGUUUCCUGGGGUAAACUUUGAUGCCAAUUCUGGAGAACGAACACGCUCCUAGAAAGGCAGUGGGAUGUGCAAAUGGUAGGACAAGCGCUGGUAUCUGCUGUUCAUCCAAGCAGCAGGUCCCCAGUGUCCCAUGGGCUGGAGCCGCCGGCAUCACUGACUGAAUGGUAACACAAGUGCAUUUCUAAAGCUCUAAGUCACAAAAUAACUCUUUCAGCUGAUUGUUGCCUCUGUUGGGCUUUUGCAUCCUGCAGGCAUUUAAUUUGCUGCUGAGAGGGAAGUUCCCCGAAGGACUAUGUGCAGAACAUACAGCUAAAACCCGCUCGGCACAGUCUGCGGCUGACAGCUUCGCCUGCGAGGAUGCCGGCUGCAGUGUUGUAUUUGCACAGCCCGCUGGUGUGCUGAAUCUCCUAAUCCAGAGCAAAUGCAAAGAUACCGUAGAAUUAUGUGUGCUGACUGCCUGUGUGUAGGAUGUGAGGCUGCGCCUAAGCUCUUUUCCAGCUGCCAACUUGCCGUGUAAGCCAGCUGUGCCGCAAUUAGCACUUGGGUCCUGUAUGGUCUGCCUGCCUGCAAUUAUGUUGAUGACCAGUUUCAUAUUUAAUGCUCUGCAGAUGUAAAUUGUGUAUGUCCCGUGCCUCCCCAGGCUCUGCGUAUAGUCUACAGGUGUGUUUGUGUGUGCUGACCCCAAGAGGAAAAGAGCCUGCUAUAGAGCCCGUCUUCUCCAGCUGCCCCUUUCCUGGCUGACAGGAGCACGGAGGAGCGCCAAAAAUCCCGUCGGGUUUGCUUACUGUGCUGGUCGCUUCGGUCCCUGGUCCCAUCCACUUUCCCGUCCGGGAGGAUGCGUAGGAAGUGGCCACCGUUGCUGCAGUACAGGAGUUUGGGUUUCUUGUAGUUCCCGGGGGGCAGGUUGAACUUCUCGGUCAGGGCGGUGAAGGUGGUGAUCUCCCCCUCGGCCAUUGCUCAGCCUCUCCCGGCGGCCGGGCUGCAAGAGAUGCGGCAGCGGGUGGCAGGAGCGGUGGCACGGGGUGCGUGGCACACGCUGCUGCCGCCGGCCUUUUAAAGGGAGGGAGGGAGCCCGGUGGUCCCGGUGCCCGGGCUGACUGCGGGGCAGGUGAUUCAGAGCACGAUGGUGACACAGUGUCACAGCCCUAAGGUGAUGCUCCGUAGCGUGGGAGGUGGCGGGGGGAUCGUCUCCUCACUGGCUGUAGCCGGCUGGUAGGGACUCUGUCCUUUUAAUUUUAUCAUAGUAAAUUCUGUUUUCUUUCUGCUCUCGAUUGACGUACGUACUAAAAUUAUAUGCUCAAAAAAAAGCUUGAAAAACACCCAGUGUCUGAUUGGAACCCACAGGAGGCAGGAAGGGAGCCCAGGUUAAUAACUCUCUCCACUAUUAUAACUUCCAAACAUGAUUAUGACUGGGUAUUGCGACACGUACGGCAUGCCAGAUAGCAAAUAUUACAUCACACCCUGGCACGCUGCAUCUCACCUGGCCAAGGGAAACACACAUGCUAAAGAUCAGAACAAAGGCUGGAUAUUGUGGGAGAUGAGCAGGACAGGAGCCUGUCACCACCUGGGCAGUGAGCAGGACAUUUACCUGUGCACUGGUCAAUAGCAUAUGGAAAAAAAUCAAUGUGAGUCUAGAUUGUACCAUGUUUGUGCACCCUUGCGUCUCAGUGAAAGUGUUUAAAAGGGAAAGGCAAAGCUCUGGCUGACACAGAGGGUGUAGCUGGGCAUGGAGCACCAUCCCGUGAGCGUGCUCCCCAUGGGGCGCCUGGGGCUGGGACAUGCACAGGGAUUGUGUGGAAACCUCAUUGCUAAAUGCACCAUGACCCGUGUCCAAGCAGAUGCUGUCCCAAAACCUGAAGGCAUCAUCAGGCCCAUAAGAGAAAGACGCUGUGACUGUCGGAGGGUGAGAACUGACACUGCAGACGUGGGACCAGGAGGUGUCGUGGGCGGGGACCAGGGUCCCACACAUAACGCAGGUAUGUUCCAAUUUAUCUGAGUGUUUCUGGCCUGGAAACUGCAUUUAAAACCUCCCAUAUGAACAUGCUGUCUUUCAUAUAUCAAGUUCUGUAAUGCUUAUAGAGGAGUGGAUUUAUGCACAGAAAAAGGCCACAGUAUAAAUCUAGAAACAGGAAACAACUUUAAAUGUAAUGUAUUCCUGUAGCUAUAUUAUGGGAAGUAUCAUUUAGUCACUGUUUAUACAUAUUUAUAAGUUGUAAAAAUGUCUAUUUAGUCCUGAGCUGUGCUACUGGCACAUUAGGACGGAGCCAGUGUCAUAUGGUGGGUUUGCCGUGGUACUUAAAGAGUGACCCGGGAAACAUGAAGGACUGCAGCUCUUUGCUUACAAACACGCGCGUGGAUAUGUAGAUAUAAUCUCUAAAUAAUUGGCUGUAAACUCUUAAGUGUGUAAAUUUGCAAAUGCAGCUGCAAGGAGGGGCAGCUAGUACUUCAAGUGGAUCCCAAAAGCCGGCGAAAGAUAAAAAUGUAUGAAAGUUGGACUGCAAAAGCCAAAACAGUGGAAAUUAAGACUCCAUUGCUACUGGUGAAAAUGCAUCUGACCACUCCAAGCAGCUUUGGUUCAUACAUAGACUUCAUCCCUGACUCUCAGGUGGGUACCCCGGGGGCCUCUAGCAAAACAGGGCGAUUCCUUAGGAGAGGAAAACAUAACCAUAAAGCAAAAAAUACUAAUAUUCCCUGCCCUCCCAGGCCACGGUUUCUCUGCCAGCUGUUGAUUCAUGACAGCUUCUCUUUCCUCCCAACUACCAGCCCAUGUUUUGCUGCAGAUGGUGUUAAAUCACAAAUACAACAGCACAACAUGGAGUCAAAAUGCUGGGACAUUCUGUGUUAAGCUCUUCCCCACUGCCCUUUCUCCAGAACCGUUUUGAUCCUGUUGGGUAAGUCCCGUUUGCGGUACCUGGGGGCGCUCCUUGGUCGGCCCCGCGCUGCCCCAGCUGUGUGCUGUUCUGCGCUGGAACCUGCUUGGGUUCUUCUCUGGGUACAGUCUCCUCCCAAAACUUGUUUUUCAGUCAAUAGAUCGUACUUUUCUUGUCACAGUUCAGUUUUUCAUGCCCACUGGCAGCCAAGCUUUCUCUGAGCGAAAGCCUUCAGGUAAUUCAACAUUGUAUAUAAGGCGUUAGUGCUUUUCUGAGUCUGAAUCAAGAUCAGUGGUCUUGUGUAAUUUACUGGAACUAAAGCUUUUCUUGACCCUUUAUCUGAGGGUAAAGGGCACUCGGAAGUCUGCUGGGUAGACAACAGGUAGAAGGGAGGAACAAACAUCCCAAAGGCCAGAGCUCAGUCGGGAUCCCAGGACGCUCCCCGUGGUCACCGCAAGGUCUGUGCAUUCGAGGGCAUCUAUGGGCGACCUGAGCAGAGCAGCUCGACUGGAAAUGGCUUCUUUAUUUUCACAUAUUUCCCUUAAGGGUUUUUUGCUAUUUUUAGAAUGAAUUCAGUGCUCGCCAGCUGCCUUGGACUCCACAAGACAAGCUGAAUGAACACGAUUUUCCACUCCCACUGUCUCUCCCUGCUAAAUACUAUUGCUGUUCUCAUACUUUUAUGACCGUGGCGUUGGUACUCUACACACACCACCGCUCACGGCCCUACUAUUAUCCGUUUGGCAGGAACAUGUUAGGUUUUUAUGGGAAUUAAAAAGCAAGAGUGAGAGAGAGAACCUGAACCAAAGACAACAUACAGGGCCUUAUUUUUUGGGUAGAAGCCCAACAAAAUUAUUAAAUAGCUCAAAGCAGAACAGCAAACUCUCUCCGAGCUGACAGACACCGCACUCCAGCGGUUAUUUGGUGCCCCGUGGAGAAAGGAAAAUAUUCCAAGAGGAGAUGGCUGCUGCCGAGCAGCUGAUGCUGCCGGUCGGGGUUGGGGAGUGUUUGUCCGAGACCGGCUGUGUUUGUGGCUCUCCUCUUUUCUGCACCACACUUCCCUCCCGAAGCUUUCCUGGGCUGCGUGGCCUAAGAGAAAAGCACUGCUGGGAGCGGAUGGCAUUGUCACCAGGGGUGGGACCCAGUACAUCUGCUCUGGGGUGGCCCCAGCUCUGGCUGUGGACAUGGGGAGCAGACGGUCCUUCCAGCCACCUGGCUCUUCCUCCCAGGCUCUGGAAGGAGAUGUCAGAGCCCCAAAGGGUCAGAAAUAGCUUUCUAAAGAAGAAAAAUGACUUAAAAAGAGGGUUAAAGCCUGAAUGCUAUUUUUAACCAAGUCCUCCUGAACUUUGGUGGCCGGAGCACUGCAGCGUGCAUGCUGCUCGUGGAGCGAGGCGAGAUGGGAAAUUCUGAGAAGUUUGGGUUUGGUUCCAGACUUUAUCACCGACCACUGUUGCUGCAGCCAGACCAGUGGCUUUGAUGUCAAAUCCCAAACUCUGCAAGCUUCUGAGCCUGAGCAUCUUGGGCCGGUUAUUUUGGCAGUAACAGGCGAACUCUGUGUGAGCUCCAGAAGCACAGGGUGUGCUAGGGGCCGUGCAAAAGGAGUGAGGUACUCUUCCUGUCCUCCUUUAAAAUCAGUGCAGACUUCACCCGCUGGGACGGGUCUCCCCUUUGCUUGUCUUACAAAGGUGGUGUUGCUGAGUUUGGCAAGUUGCUCCCCACACCGUUUCUGGCCGCCCCUCUGGACACACACGGUAGCUGGAGACCACGAGGAUGGAAACUUGUUGCUUGUGAGCUGGGAGAUGAGCAUCUUCUGCUACCAUCCACAAAGCUCCAUCCACCAGUCAGCCUGCCUGCGCUGCCUUCCCUUCGAAGGGCUGGCGGUGCAAGGCACGGCUCACAUUCCUUGGACUAGGCAUCCUCUUAGAAGGACUCAAUAAAUCAUUAGGCAAAGCCUAUGAUAAAUAUGUAAUAGAUCAUUUUGUGCAUGUCAGCAGAAAGCGUUGGCUUGUUUCUAGUUGGUGUUUAUGCCAAGAUGAUUUUAUCUCUAGCAAUAUGAUUAACUGCUUAGUGGAAUAUUUAUCAGUCAGGUUUUACCCUUUGCAAGUGGAAUAUGUGGUAUAAAGUGUGACCAAACCAGUAGAAAUUAAUGUAACUAAUCCUGCUGUCACCAUCUCCUGCUCUCCCCAGGACGUGGAGGCAGUCGCUGGGGUUGUGUCACACGGGACCUGCGCUGGGUAAAACAGGCAGGAGGGCAAGUGUGAAACCUUUAGCAAUUGACAGAGUUUCAUGAAUGGCGAGUGAGUGAGUUCUUUGCUGAAAGGAGGCUGAUGACAAACACCAGGAGCAUCGGGAAAACACAGAAUGAGAGCAGGUUGCAUCCUGGAUUUGGCCAUUUUCUGGCUUAGCUCCUGUCUCUGCGGAGCAGAGGGGGCUGUGGGGAUGCGUGUGUCUUGGGAUAGAACUGUGCAGGUGAGGACCCCCUGUGCAAGGCCCAGCUGAACCUGCCAACAGCUGCACAUUUUGCUCCAAAGCCGCGUGUGCCUUCUGUGUGGCUUUGAGACUGGGACAUCCCAGCUGCGUCUUUCAGCUGGGAUAUACACUGCAACAUCUCAGCAAACUGGUGGCAUCCGUGGGGAGACAGGAAUACAAGGUGAUGAUCUGCUUUCUAAUUAUCUUCCAGCCUCCCCACCCACGCCCUUUUGCAAUCUGGUGAUUAACUUAAUUACAGUUCCAGCUCCAGGAGCUGAUCCAGCCCAAGAGCAGGAGCUUUGCCAGGAGGGUCUUGCUCCAUGUGUCCUGUCUGGGUUCAGACCAAGACCACAGAGACAUACACGAGCAACACCGGCUGCAGAAGCAAAUCCCAUUGCCUCAUGUGGGGGAUUGAAGCACUAACUGCCAGUGCAAGCCAGAUGCGUGGGACCCACUGCAUGGAAAGAAAACACUGGAUGGAGAAGCGCAAAGCUCAGUCUUUCCAGCAAAGGAUGGGUUGGCUGACGUAUUGCACCCAGAGCGUCCUUUGGGCUUUGCAGUGAGAGGUAAUGCAAUUGCCUGAUUAUUGGGGGGAGGCCGGGGUGGCUGCUGCUCCCCUGCCUGCUCCCUGUCUCCCUUCCUCUUGGCCUUUAUUUUAAGGCACCGUUGACAGUGUGACUGGUCUGUCCAGCUCAGGCGGAUGCUGUCAUUGCAGUGCGCUCAGCGCUGGAGCAGCAGCUCCACCCUGGGGACCAGGUCUGAGUGAGGACCAUGGGGCCAGGCUUGGGCUGCCAGGGCUGCCCUGUCACUGCUGUGCUGGUGCUGGCCAGGGGUGACAGCGGGAGCAGCCUGGGGCCCAGCUGCACCCCAGGGCAUUCGCUGUGGGCACCUCUAGCUCUCCUGCCCCAGUAGCGCUGUCACAGGCAUCCUGGUUACAAAAGGUAAUUAGUGGAGUAACACCAAGGGAGUAACACCUUCCCUUCUGGAGACAGCCCGCACUGCUGGGCUCUCACGAGUGCCUUUCCCCUUGCAGGCUCACACCGAGACCACUGUAAAGCAUCGUCCCUUCUCCUGUGCUCUAUAAAGCAUCGUCCCUUCUGUGCUUUGCUGCUGCACUGCUCCCUGGCACCUCGCUCAUGCAGACCGAGAUGUGUUGGCACACAGGACCGGCUGGGAGCAGCCACUAACACAAGACACGAGUUACUCAGUCCUCGUGGUCUCAUCUCUGGUGCCCAAGGAGGAUGGCUGUGGGCUGCUGAGGCUGCUGAGGACCCAGGGAGGAUGCACCAGGUGCAGGUACCUUGUUUUGGGUGUUUGCGGUGGGGCAGCGGGUGGUUCAGUGCAGGGCUCUGUGCCUCCCUCCUCCAUGGGUCUGUGCGUGAUUUGCUUCCCAGGGGAAAAGCAUCUGGAGGGAGUGAAAACCUCAAGGGAUGCUGUAAAAACUAAUUGCUUGAGGCAGGUGGAAAUGUUUUGUGGUGAUACAGGAAACCCUCCGGGGCAGGGGACACUUCACCUGGCUUGCAGAUGUCACUGUCCGCCCUGCCACCCACCCCCGGUGUUGCCGCAGGACAUCAGACCACAGAGCUGGAGCGCCUGGGCUGUCUGAGCUCCUGCCCCGUGUGCCCACAGACGGACAGACAGAUGGACAGACAGCAGUGCCGGCUGCCACCACUCCUGGCCGCCGGCAGAGUUCUCGUGGCUUGUGUUUCUGCUCUGCUUGUGGGUGCUCCUGUCCAGCUCUCCUCCCUUCCCACUUGGAGCAUUUCGCUACGGGAGAUGCAAAUGCAUGGCUGGUUGUGCUGGGGGGCUGCUCCGUCUCAGGCCAGCCCUGCCCCGUCAAACGCGCGGCUGACCCCAAAUGACAGACUCUAGCCCCAAAAUUUCACCCUACGCAAUGCUUUUAUGCCAAGGGGCUGGGCUGGUUCUCCUGUUGUACCACAUCCCGUCUGAGCCUGCUGGUCCCACCCAAGCACAACCCCUGUGCUGGUUGCCCCUGCUCAGGUCCCUGCUCCUCUUCCUCACCCUCGAGCUCUCCCCAGUCCCCCAGCACUCAGACAGGUUUGAAAUCUCCGGGUGCUGUUGCUAAUAAGGCAUGAGGCUCGAAUUAGGAGUGAAAAGCAGGGAUUUUCAUGUGGUAUCAGAUGCAAUGCUUCCUGCAGCUGGGCCCUCUGAAGGGUGGCCAAGCUCCAAUCAAGGCCUGGCUUAGGCUUCAAAACUGGGAUUUAGGUUGGGUUCAGGCUUUAUACCAUGUCCUUCCCCAAAGAAGCAGAGGAUGCUGGAAUUGAGGGUUUUAUCUCCAGGCCAAGUGAAACCCCACAUCCAUCCUCGCGGUUAACCAUCAGUAGACACACCACCCCUCAGAAAUCAAACUUCCUCCAGCAUAGUUUCGGUCUCGGUCACUCCAAGGAAAAUCACUUAGGUUCACCAUAAGCUCAGCAGUGAUUCACUAUGUUGAAAAUGUGCAGGGAGUUAAUUCUGUUCAUUAUGAAAUAUUUGUAUAAGGACUAUGUAGCUUGUCUUGUUAAAUUCUAAGAAAAACUGGCUGGAAGAAUUCUGUGCUUAAUUCUGCUGUUUGGUAUCUUAUUUUAAAUCUAGUGACUAGUAGCUACAGAUGCUAAUGCCUGGCUUUUUUGCUUUGAGUUGCCUAAGUAAACAGCUUGGGUUGUGUUUUCCUGUGCACACUCUUGCUCAAUAACUUAAAAAUGUGACAAAAGCUUGAGAUAAUAACUGCUAUUACCAGGAAAAUCCUCCAAUAAAUAAUAAUUUUCUUAUCUGCAUGA